GUUCUAUUUUCUAUUUAGUUUGGUUCUAUUUUUUAGUCAUGAAGUUAAGUAGUAUCGUGGGAUAUUUGAAGUUCUUGGGUACUCAAAAUUCAAGAAGUUUUAGAAGGAAAACAAGUUUUAAACUCUGGUCAUGUUAUUUUGGCUGGAAAAAUAGAGGAAAGUUCUGAGCAUACCAUCAAAAUAUAAUAUGGUUUAUUCCUUCAGUAAGGUCCAAUCCCCACGAAAUUAAAGGAACCGUAUCUUUCACAAAUGGCAUGAGCAUUAGCCAAAUGUUAUGUUCUUGUAAAGCAGAAAAUAGUGGAAAAUGUAAACAUGUCUCUACUCUUGUUAAAUGUAAGUAUAAGGGAAAAUGUGAAAUUAAUGGAACAUUCAGUACAUGAGUUGAAAAAAUGUUAACAGAUUGGCAAGUGAAGACCAUUUUUAAUUGAUCUAAACAUUUAUAGAAACAAAGUAUAUGGUUGAUAUAAAAUAUUACCUGCCUGAAGUAACUUGAUGUACAAAUCAAUAGUAACCAUAAUUUUUUUCCCAGGGCCAGUGAGAAACAAUGUGCAUUUCAUUUCUAAGUGUUCUAAGGAAAGCUUGCGUAAGAAUAAAUAGAUCUGUACAAUGAAGAUUAACCUAAUCUGUUUAACCAUCGAAAUUAUUGUAUUGUUAUAAAAAUAAUCUCCAUUUCAUGUUAUUUACAUUUACAAACAUUAGCCUAGAAUUUCAUUGUGUCUACAUUAGUGGCCAUAGUCCCAAACCUCCCCUGGUCAACGGAGGUACUGUCUUUCGCAGAUGUAGUAAUGCCGGGUUUGAUACAUUAUUGCUAAAUAAACUUUGUGUAUAGUAACUUUUCACAAAAUAAACAGAGUUUUAAUAGUUUUCACUGUACUUAAAUAUUUUUUACAUUCAGUGGUAAUAACAUUAUAUUUUGUUUUGGUAUUUAAAUUUACCUAAAUAUUUAUAGAAAUAUACUAUACUAAAUUCAAGAUGCAGUAGAAAUAAACAAACCAAGACACAUUAAAUGCUACUAUGAGCACUCCCGAAUCAUAAUUGAUAAUCAAAUAAUGAUUUUCAAAGUUUAUACAUUGUAAGUUAUGAUUCGGGAGUGCUCCUAAUAGUAGCAUUUAACUUGUCUUGGUUUGUUUAUUUCUACUGCAUCUUAAUUUUAAAUUUAGUGUAGAUGUGGCCAUCAUAGGACUCUUACUUAUAGAUGCAAUAAAAUUAUUGGUUUAUUUUCAUUUUAAAUGUUAUACUUCCAGUAUUGUAUGUAGUACCUAGUAUUAAAACAUAUAUUUUUAAUUAAAAAUAAAAAUAUCUUAUUUCUAUAAUGAACAACAUUAAAUUUACUUCUUGCGGGAGUAGAAAAAAGUUAUAGUAAAUAUUUUUAACUUGUUUAGCUUUUGAUGAUAUUUGCCAUAUGUUUGUGUAAGACAUGUUUAACGAGUAGUCUAAGGGCAUAUUAUUAUACUUUGUUAUACAAAAUAUACAUAAAAUUUUGAAACUUUCAGCUUCAUUUUUUCAUUGUUUCAAUAUUAAAUCCCAAAUUUAGACUCUCCACCAUUUUCUCAUAAAAAAGUAUGUUCAGUUUUUACCCCAGGUAGACCGAAACCACCAAAAAAUUGAUGUUACUUAAGUUUUUAAGUACUAAAAAAAUGCGUUUCAUCAGAUACACAAAAUAAAUGCAACUGAUUAUGUUCGGAUAGUUGGGUCCCUCUUAAUUUUUAUUCCUAAAAACUUUACUAUUAAACCAAAGUUUUAGUUAAAAAAAAAAAAAUGUUUGCUUCUGUGUGGAGUUACAAAAAUAAGUUGAAAUGCUAUUUAAGUUCGUAUUAUUUCCUGGUGAUCCUCUGCCAUACUAAUUUUACACUGUUCUUACAUGCAAGCAUUUGUAAAUUAAUUUACCAUUAAAGGGCGGCCCAAGGUAUAUUCAUCUUAAAUGGGUGGUUGUAGUUUUGUAUAUUUUAUUUUCAUUUUGUAUUAUUUUUAUUUUAGUUUUGUAAUAUUUUUAAGAACAAAUAAAAUAAUUAUAAUUAUUCUGAA
rnacentral:lncRNA from 1 species